rnacentral:rRNA from 1 species
AUUGAACGCUGGCGGCAUGCCUUACACAUGCAAGUAGAACGGCAGCGGGGGAGAAGCUUGCUUUUCCUGCCGGCGAGUGGCGAACGGGUGAGUAAUACAUCGGAACGUGCCCUGUAGUGGGGGAUAACUAGUCGAAAGAUUAGCUAAUACCGCAUACGACCUGAGGGUGAAAGUGGGGGACCGCAAGGCCUCAUGCUAUAGGAGCGGCCGAUGUCUGAUUAGCUAGUUGGUGGGGUAAAGGCCUACCAAGGCGACGAUCAGUAGCUGGUCUGAGAGGACGAUCAGCCACACUGGGACUGAGACACGGCCCAGACUCCUACGGGAGGCAGCAGUGGGGAAUUUUGGACAAUGGGCGAAAGCCUGAUCCAGCAAUGCCGCGUGUGUGAAGAAGGCCUUCGGGUUGUAAAGCACUUUUGUCCGGAAAGAAAUGGCUCUGGUUAAUACCUGGGGUCGAUGACGGUACCGGAAGAAUAAGGCCCGGCUAACUACGUGCCAGCCGCCGCGGUAA